ACGAACGCUGGCGGCAGGCCUAACACAUGCAAGUCGAACGCCGUAGCAAUACGGAGUGGCAGACGGGUGAGUAACGCGUGGGAACCUUCCCAAUGGUACGGAAUAACUCGCCGAAAGGCGUGCUAAUACCGUAUAAGCCCGCAAGGGGAAAGAUUUAUCGCCAUUGGAUGGGCCCGCGUCGGAUUAGCUAGUUGGUGAGGUAAUGGCUCACCAAGGCGACGAUCCGUAGCUGGUCUGAGAGGAUGAUCAGCCACACUGGGACUGAGACACGGCCCAGACUCCUACGGGAGGCAGCAGUGGGGAAUAUUGGACAAUGGGCGAAAGCCUGAUCCAGCCAUGCCGCGUGAGUGACGAAGGCCUUAGGGUUGUAAAGCUCUUUUGGCGGGGACGAUAAUGACGGUACCCGCAGAAUAAGCCCCGGCUAACUUCGU
rnacentral:rRNA from 1 species